UACGGGGGGGGCAAGCGUUGUUCGGAAUUACUGGGCGUAAAGGGCUCGUAGGCGGCCAACUAAGUCAGACGUGAAAUCCCUCGGCUUAACCGGGGAACUGCGUCUGAUACUGGAUGGCUUGAGUCCGGGAGAGGGAUGCGGAAUUCCAGGUGUAGCGGUGAAAUGCGUAGAUAUCUGGAGGAACACCGGUGGCGAAGGCGGCAUCCUGGACCGGCAUUGACGCUGAGGCGCGAAAGCUGGGGGAGCAAACCGG
rnacentral:rRNA from 1 species